GUGAGAUUCUAGAUCUUGAGAUGACCAAAGGAGUCUCAAGAGUGAGACUCCUGAGUCUGGAGUAACCCCAUAUGAGCUCUCUAACACAGAGAAAACACGUCUGUGACAAGCAUGAAGGUCCUGACAGACAGCUGGAGCACAAUACUGAAGGGGUUGCUGAGGUCUGAAAUGCUUCCUGGAAGGGGCUGAGGAAUACAACCCAAGAGACAUUAGAGUUGCCUUCAAGCCCUUUUACUUGUGGAAUUUAGCAUCAAUCUGCUUGAAAAGAGAUGAUCCUUCAAAAGGCAGAUCCUGCACAGUCUGUUAGACCUCCUGUGGGAGCCCAGAGGACCUACACAUGGCCACUGCCAAAGCCAUGGACCUGGCAGUUGAGUCAGCCACAUCCAGAGCAGCUUGCAGCAAGGUUCUUACCACCAAUUUUCCCUCAUCCUCUAGCAAGAAUAACUGCUUAGUCUUUUCUGGAAGCACAUCUUUAAAUUUCAGCAUGGAGCCCCAUAGGUUAAAGUCAUACCUGCCCAAAAGUGAUUGCUGAUUUGCAAUCCUGAGCUGCAGCCCCACUGGUAGAAUAAACUUUCCUACCAAACAGG